AGGAUUGACUCCAAUUUUGAAAGAAGUUCUACUCAGGGUGAAACACUAUCAAAUAGUGUUAAUGAAAGGAAAAGUCAUUUGAUGCUGCAAAUUUUGUUGUCUAAUGUUAAGAAGUUGCCACAACCACCCUAACCUUCAACAAUCACCAACCACCCAGAUUAGUCAGCAGCCAUCAACACUGAGUGGCCUGGAACUGAGCCCACAAAAUUUCCAAGGUAUAUGUCUGCUCCUACCCUGCAAAUAAAGAAGCAAACCAAAACAAACAACAAGAAUAAAAUAAUGAGGUUUUAACCCUUAGUCCUUUAGCACUGUUUCUGACACAUUUUAAAUCAAGCAAAUAAAUGCAAGAAUGCAUGAACAAAUGAAUGAAUGAUCAGUUUGCCAAGGGGAAAGUAUACAACAUUAUGGAUAAUAAAAGAGAUGAAAUGGAAA